GACGAACGCUGGCGGCGUGCCUAAUACAUGCAAGUAGAACGCUGAAGGAGGAGCUUGCUCUUCUGGAUGAGUUGCGAACGGGUGAGUAACGCGUAGGUAACCUGCCUGGUAGCGGGGGAUAACUAUUGGAAACGAUAGCUAAUACCGCAUAAGAGUAGAUGUUGCAUGACAUUUACUUAAAAGGUGCAAUUGCAUCACUACCAGAUGGACCUGCGUUGUAUUAGCUAGUUGGUGGGGUAACGGCUCACCAAGGCGACGAUACAUAGCCGACCUGAGAGGGUGAUCGGCCACACUGGGACUGAGACACGGCCCAGACUCCUACGGGAGGCAGCAGUAGGGAAUCUUCGGCAAUGGACGGAAGUCUGACCGAGCAACGCCGCGUGAGUGAAGAAGGUUUUCGGAUCGUAAAGCUCUGUUGUAAGAGAAGAACGAGUGUGAGAGUGGAAAGUUCACACUGUGACGGUAUCUACCCAGA
rnacentral:rRNA from 1 species